CGCAUCUGUGCAUGCAGCAUAUCAAUAAGCGGAGGAAAAGAAACUAACAAGGAUUCCCUCAGUAACGGCGAGUGAAGCGGGAAGAGCUCAAAUUUGAAAUCUUGAAAGGUCACCUUUCACGAAUUGUAGUUUAAAGAAGUGUUUUCUGUUACGAUCGUAAUAUAAGUUCUUUGGAAUAGGACAUCACAGAGGGUGAGAAUCCCGUCUAUGAUUGCGAUUUGUAGCUUUGUGAUACACUUUCAAAGAGUCGGGUUGUUUGGGAAUGCAGCCCAAAACGGGAGGUAAAUUUCUUCUAAGGCUAAAUAUUGGCGAGAGACCGAUAGCGAACAAGUACCGUGAGGGAAAGAUGAAAAGAACUUUGAAAAGAGAGUUAAAUAGUACGUGAAAUUGUCAAAAGGGAAGCGUUUAACACCAGUGUUGUUUUCUGAAAAUCAACCUCUGUUAGCUUUAUGCAUGUUUGUUUAGACCUAAUCAGCUAUCUUUCAUGUUCUAUUGUUUGCAGUGGUGCACUUUUCAGUUUACAGGUCAACAUCAGUUUUUUUUACCGUAAAAAAGUUAAAGAAAGGUAGCUCAUGGCUCCGGUCGUGAGUGUUAUAGUCUUUUUCCUAUGCGGUAGGAGAGACUGAGGUCUGCAGUGUAGGCUAUUUGGCUAGAUACUCAGGUGCUAUGUGAUACCAUUUCAUAAACAACUUGUUGAUUAUGUUUUGUCUAUUGCAUACUCGCUUGUACUAUCAUACCUACGCUUAGGAUGUUGACGAUCAGCUGAGCGCG
rnacentral:rRNA from 1 species